UCCGUAGGGUGCAAGCGUUGUCCGGAAUUAUUGGGCUUAAAGAGCUCGUAGGCGGUCUGUCGCGUCGGCUGUGAAAUCCCGAGGCUCAACCUCGGGUCUGCAGUCGAUACGGGCAAACUAGAGUAUUGCAGGGGAGACUGGAAUUCCUGGUGUAGCGGUGAAAUGCGCAGAUAUCAGGAGGAACACCGGUGGCGAAGGCGGGUCUAUGGGCAAUAACUGACGCUGAGGAGCGAAAGCGUGGGGAGCGAACAGG
rnacentral:rRNA from 1 species